rnacentral:rRNA from 2 species
UUAAGUUAUUAAGGGCGCACGGUGGAUGCCUUGGCACUAGAAGCCGAUGAAGGACGUUACUAACGACGAUAUGCUUUGGGGAGCUGUAAGUAAGCUUUGAUCCAGAGAUUUCCGAAUGGGGAAACCCAGCAUGACAGCAUGAGUUAUGUCAUGUUAUCGAUAUGUGAAUACAUAGCAUAUCAGAAGGCACACCCGGAGAACUGAAACAUCUUAGUACCCGGAGGAAGAGAAAGAAAAUUCGAUUCCCUUAGUAGCGGCGAGCGAAACGGGAAGAGCCCAAACCAACAAGCUUGCUUGUUGGGGUUGUAGGACACUCUAUACGGAGUUACAAAGGACGACAUUAGACGAAUCAUCUGGAAAGAUGAAUCAAAGAAGGUAAUAAUCCUGUAGUCGAAAAUGUUGUCUCUCUUGAGUGGAUCCUGAGUACGACGGAGCACGUGAAAUUCCGUCGGAAUCUGGGAGGACCAUCUCCUAAGGCUAAAUACUCUCUAGUGACCGAUAGUGAACCAGUACCGUGAGGGAAAGGUGAAAAGCACCCCGGAAGGGGAGUGAAAUAGAACCUGAAACCGUGUGCUUACAAGUAGUCAGAGCCCGUUAAUGGGUGAUGGCGUGCCUUUUGUAGAAUGAACCGGCGAGUUACGAUUUGAUGCAAGGUUAAGCAGUAAAUGUGGAGCCGUAGCGAAAGCGAGUCUGAAUAGGGCGUUUAGUAUUUGGUCGUAGACCCGAAACCAGGUGAUCUACCCUUGGUCAGGUUGAAGUUCAGGUAACACUGAAUGGAGGACCGAACCGACUUACGUUGAAAAGUGAGCGGAUGAACUGAGGGUAGCGGAGAAAUUCCAAUCGAACCUGGAGAUAGCUGGUUCUCUCCGAAAUAGCUUUAGGGCUAGCCUCAAGUGAUGAUUAUUGGAGGUAGAGCACUGUUUGGACGAGGGGCCCCUCUCGGGUUACCGAAUUCAGACAAACUCCGAAUGCCAAUUAAUUUAACUUGGGAGUCAGAACAUGGGUGAUAAGGUCCGUGUUCGAAAGGGAAACAGCCCAGACCACCAGCUAAGGUCCCAAAAUAUAUGUUAAGUGGAAAAGGAUGUGGCGUUGCCCAGACAACUAGGAUGUUGGCUUAGAAGCAGCCAUCAUUUAAAGAGUGCGUAAUAGCUCACUAGUCGAGUGACACUGCGCCGAAAAUGUACCGGGGCUAAACAUAUUACCGAAGCUGUGGAUUGUCCUUUGGACAAUGGUAGGAGAGCGUUCUAAGGGCGUUGAAGCAUGAUCGUAAGGACAUGUGGAGCGCUUAGAAGUGAGAAUGCCGGUGUGAGUAGCGAAAGACGGGUGAGAAUCCCGUCCACCGAUUGACUAAGGUUUCCAGAGGAAGGCUCGUCCGCUCUGGGUUAGUCGGGUCCUAAGCUGAGGCCGACAGGCGUAGGCGAUGGAUAACAGGUUGAUAUUCCUGUACCACCUAUAAUCGUUUUAAUCGAUGGGGGGACGCAGUAGGAUAGGCGAAGCGUGCGAUUGGAUUGCACGUCUAAGCAGUAAGGCUGAGUAUUAGGCAAAUCCGGUACUCGUUAAGGCUGAGCUGUGAUGGGGAGAAGACAUUGUGUCUUCGAGUCGUUGAUUUCACACUGCCGAGAAAAGCCUCUAGAUAGAAAAUAGGUGCCCGUACCGCAAACCGACACAGGUAGUCAAGAUGAGAAUUCUAAGGUGAGCGAGCGAACUCUCGUUAAGGAACUCGGCAAAAUGACCCCGUAACUUCGGGAGAAGGGGUGCUCUUUAGGGUUAACGCCCAGAAGAGCCGCAGUGAAUAGGCCCAAGCGACUGUUUAUCAAAAACACAGGUCUCUGCUAAACCGUAAGGUGAUGUAUAGGGGCUGACGCCUGCCCGGUGCUGGAAGGUUAAGAGGAGUGGUUAGCUUCUGCGAAGCUACGAAUCGAAGCCCCAGUAAACGGCGGCCGUAACUAUAACGGUCCUAAGGUAGCGAAAUUCCUUGUCGGGUAAGUUCCGACCCGCACGAAAGGCGUAACGAUUUGGGCACUGUCUCAACGAGAGACUCGGUGAAAUCAUAGUACCUGUGAAGAUGCAGGUUACCCGCGACAGGACGGAAAGACCCCGUGGAGCUUUACUGUAGCCUGAUAUUGAAAUUCGGCACAGCUUGUACAGGAUAGGUAGGAGCCUUUGAAACGUGAGCGCUAGCUUACGUGGAGGCGCUGGUGGGAUACUACCCUAGCUGUGUUGGCUUUCUAACCCGCACCACUUAUCGUGGUGGGAGACAGUGUCAGGCGGGCAGUUUGACUGGGGCGGUCGCCUCCUAAAAGGUAACGGAGGCGCUCAAAGGUUCCCUCAGAAUGGUUGGAAAUCAUUCAUAGAGUGUAAAGGCAUAAGGGAGCUUGACUGCGAGACCUACAAGUCGAGCAGGGUCGAAAGACGGACUUAGUGAUCCGGUGGUUCCGCAUGGAAGGGCCAUCGCUCAACGGAUAAAAGCUACCCCGGGGAUAACAGGCUUAUCUCCCCCAAGAGUUCACAUCGACGGGGAGGUUUGGCACCUCGAUGUCGGCUCAUCGCAUCCUGGGGCUGUAGUCGGUCCCAAGGGUUGGGCUGUUCGCCCAUUAAAGCGGUACGCGAGCUGGGUUCAGAACGUCGUGAGACAGUUCGGUCCCUAUCCGUCGUGGGCGUAGGAAAUUUGAGAGGAGCUGUCCUUAGUACGAGAGGACCGGGAUGGACAUACCUCUGGUGUACCAGUUGUCGUGCCAACGGCAUAGCUGGGUAGCUAUGUGUGGACGGGAUAAGUGCUGAAAGCAUCUAAGCAUGAAGCCCCCCUCAAGAUGAGAUUUCCCAACUUCGGUUAUAAGAUCCCUCAAAGAUGAUGAGGUUAAUAGGUUCGAGGUGGAAGCAUGGUGACAUGUGGAGCUGACGAAUACUAAUCGAUCGAAGACUUAAUCAA